rnacentral:rRNA from 1 species
UACGGGAGGCAGCAGUGGGGAAUAUUGCACAAUGGGCGAAAGCCUGAUGCAGCUAUGCCGCGUGUAUGAAGAAGGCCUUAGGGUUGUAAAGUACUUUCAUCGGGGAGGAAAAACAAAACUAAUAAUUUUAUUUCUUGACGUUACCCGAAAAAGAAGCACCGGCUAACUCCGUGCCAGCAGCCGCGGUAAUACGGAGGGUGCUAGCGUUAAUCAGAAUUACUGGGCGUAAAGAGCACGUAGGUGGUUUUUUUAAAGUCAGAUGUGAAAUCCCUGGGCUUAACCUAGGAACUGCAUUUUGAAACUGAAAUACUAGAGUAUCGUAGAGGGAGGUAGAAUUCUAGGUGUAGCGGUGAAAUGCGUAGAUAUCUGGAGGAAUACCUGCGGCGAAAGCGGCCUCCUAAACGAAUACUGACACUGAGGUGCGAAAGCGUGGGGAGCAAACAGGGAUUAGAUACC